rnacentral:tRNA from 1 species
GCCCAAGUGGCUCAGUUGAGCAUUUGACCUAUGAACCAGGAGGUCAUGGUUCGAUUCCUUGUCAGGGCA